rnacentral:rRNA from 1 species
UAUUGGACAAUGGGCGAAAGCCUGAUCCAGCAAUGCCGCGUGAGUGAUGAAGGCCUUAGGGUUGUAAAGCUCUUUUACCCGGGAUGAUAAUGACAGUACCGGGAGAAUAAGCUCCGGCUAACUCCGUGCCAGCAGCCGCGGUAAUACGGAGGGAGCUAGCGUUGUUCGGAAUUACUGGGCGUAAAGCGCACGUAGGCGGCUUUGUAAGUUAGAGGUGAAAGCCUGGAGCUCAACUCCAGGAUUGCCUUUGAUACUGCAUCGCUUGAAUCCAGGAGAGGUGAGUGGAAUUCCGAGUGUAGAGGUGAGAUUCGUAGAUAUUCGGAAGAACACCAGUGGCGAAGGCGGCUCACUGGAGCUGGUAUUGACGCUGAGGUGCGAAG